CUACGGGGUGCUGCAGUGGGGAAUAUUGCACAAUGGGCGCAAGCCUGAUGCAGCCAUGCCGCGUGUAUGAAGAAGGCCUUCGGGUUGUAAAGUACUUUCAGCGGGGAGGAAGGGAGUAAAGUUAAUACCUUUGCUCAUUGACGUUACCCGCAGAAGAAGCACCGGCUAACUCCGUGCCAGCAGCCGCGGUAAUACGGAGGGUGCAAGCGUUAAUCGGAAUUACUGGGCGUAAAGCGCACGCAGGCGGUUUGUUAAGUCAGAUGUGAACUCCCCGGGCGCAACCUGGGAACUGCAUCUGAUACUGGCAAGCUUGAGUCUCGUAGAGGGGGGUAGAAUUCCAGGUGUAGCGGUGAAAUGCGUAGAGAUCUGGAGGAAUACCGGUGGCGAAGGCGGCCCCCUGGACGAAGACUGACGCUCAGGUGCGAAAGCGUGGGGAGCAAACAGGAUUAGAUACCCGCGUAGUC
rnacentral:rRNA from 1 species